GCUACCUGCUGCCAGCAAUUGAACAAGUCUGGACAAAUCAUCAGGCACAAUUGAUGACAGAAAUUCAGGGAAAGGAGUCAUCUCUCGCUGGAGAUGGACGCUGUGACUCGCCUGGUCACAACUCUAAGUACCUGACUUACAGCUUCUAUCAUGAAGGUUUGAGGAAAAUUGUUCACACUGUUCAGGUGCAGGCAAAUGAAGUGGCAUCAAGUAGUCACAUGGAACUUGAAGCAGUACGCCGGGGACUUGAAGAGCUGG